GAUGAAGAACGUAGCGAAAUGCGAUAAGUAGUGUGAAUUGCAGAAUUCAGUGAAUCAUCGAAUCUUUGAACGCACAUUGCGCCCCUUGGUAUUCCAUGGGGCAUGCCUGUUCGAGCGUCAUUUGUACCUUCAAGCUCUGCUUGGUGUUGGGUGUUUGUCCCGCCUUUGCGCGUGGACUCGCCUCAAAUGCAGUUGGCAGCUUAUCCCUCGGCUCUAAACGCAGCAGAUUUGCGUCGAGCGUCGUGUGGACGGGCUCUCCAGUAAGCAAACCCCCCAAAAUUGACCUCGGAUCAGGUAGGGAUACCCGCUGAACUUAAGCAUAUCAAUAAGCGGAGGA
rnacentral:misc_RNA from 1 species